CCCUUAGAUGUUCUGGGCCGCACGCGCGCUACACUGAUACAUUCAACGAGUCUAAAACCUGCUCUGAUAGGGGUGGGUAAUCUUUUGAAUGUGCAUCGUGAUUGGGAUAGAUGAUUGCAAUUUUUCAUCUUCAACGAGGAAUGCCUAGUAAACGCAAGUCAUCAGCUUGCAUUGAUUACGUCCCUGCCCUUUGUACACACCGCCCGUCGCUCCUACCGAUUGAAUGAUCCGAUGAAUAUCAUGGAUUGAGGAUGCAAGCAGGUUCGCCUGUCUUCAUCUUCGAGAAGUGAAGUAAAUCUUAUCAUUUAGAGGAAGGAGAAGUCGUAACA
rnacentral:rRNA from 1 species